AACGAACGCUGGCGGCAUGCCUAACACAUGCAAGUCGAACGCGUGUAGCAAUACACGAGUGGCGGACGGGUGAGUAACGCGUGGGAACCUGCCCAAUGGUAGGGAAUAACUGCGGGAAACUGCAGCUAAUACCCUAUGCUCCCUACGGGGAAGAUUAUCGCCAUUGGAGGGCCCGGCGUCGGAUUAGCUAGUUGGCGGGGUAACGGGCCCACCAAGGCGACGAUCCGUAGCUGGCUGAGAGGACGAUCAGCCACACUGGGACUGAGACACGGCCCA
rnacentral:rRNA from 1 species